rnacentral:rRNA from 1 species
UACGUAGGCAGCAAGCGUUGUUCGGAGUUACUGGGCGUAAAGGGUGCGUAGGCGGUCCUAUAAGUAUGGUGUGAAAUCUCCCGGCUUAACUGGGAGGGUGCGCUAUAGACUGUGGGACUAGAGUGUGGGAGAGGAAAGUGGAAUUCCUGGUGUAGCGGUGAAAUGCGCAGAUAUCAGGAGGAACACCAAUGGCGAAGGCAGCUCGCUGGGACGGUACUGACGCUGAGACGCGAAAGCGUGGGGAGCGAACAGG